rnacentral:rRNA from 1 species
UCGAUUUGGAGUUUGUUGCCCUGAGUGAUGGGCUCCGAAGCUAACGCGAUAAAUCGACCGCCUGGGGAGUACGGCCGCAAGGUUAAAACUCAAAUGAAUUGACGGGGGCCCGCACAAGCGGUGGAGCAUGUGGUUUAAUUCGAUGCAACGCGAAGAGCCUUACCUGGUCUUGACAUCCACAGAAUCUUGCAGAGAUGCGAGAGUGCCUUCGGGAACUGUGAGACAGGUGCUGCAUGGCUGUCGUCAGCUCGUGUUGUGAAAUGUUGGGUUAAGUCCCGCAACGAGCGCAACCCUUAUCCUUUGUUGCCAUUGGUUCGGCCGGGAACUCAAAGGAGACUGCCGUUGAUAAAGCGGAGGAAGGUGGGGACGACGUCAAGUCAUCAUGGCCCUUACGACCAGGGCUACACACGUGCUACAAUGGCGUAUACAAAGGGAGGCGACCUCGCGAGAGCAAGCGGACCUCAUAAAGUACGUCUAAGUCCGGAUUGGAGUCUGCAACUCGACUCCAUGAAGUCGGAAUCGCUAGUAAUCGUGAAUCAGAAUGUCACGGUGAAUACGUUCCCGGGCCU